AUCUAUGACCACACCACGUUGAAAGCACCGCAUCCCGCCCGAUCUGCGAAGUUAAGCAACGUUGGGCUGACGUCAGUACCAGAAUCGGAGACGGUCUGGGAACACGCAGUGUCGUAGACU
rnacentral:rRNA from 1 species